rfam:Lepisosteus oculatus linkage group LG2, whole genome shotgun sequence.
GCCAGCAGCCAUAUCACCCUGCAACUUACAAUUGGCAGCCCACUGAAGCUAAGCAGGUGUGAGCCUGGUCAGUACCUGGAUGGGAGACCUCCUGGGAAAAACUAAGGUUCUGCUGGAA